rnacentral:rRNA from 1 species
GCCGCGGUAAUUCCAGCUCCAAUAGCGUAUAUUAAAGUUGUUGCAGUUAAAAAGCUCGUAGUUGAACUUCAGACCUGGCUGGGUGGUCCGCUUAACGGCGUGUACUGCUUGGCUGGGCCUUACUUCUUGGUGAGCCGGCGUGCCCUUUAUUGGUGUGCGUCGGGGAACCAGGACUUUUACCUUGAGAAAAUUAGAGUGUUCAAAGCAGGCCUAUGCCUGAAUACAUUAGCAUGGAAUAAUAGAAUAGGACGUGCGGUUCUAUUUUGUUGGUUUCUAGAGUCGCCGUAAUGAUUAAUAGGGACAGUUGGGGGCAUUGGUAUUGAGUCGCUAGAGGUGAAAUUCUUGGAUUGACUCAAGACCGACUAUUGCGAAAGCAUUUGCCAAGGAUGUUUUCAUUAAUCAAGAACGAAGGUUAGGGGAUCGAAAACGAUCAGAUACCGUUGUAGUCUUAACAGUAAACUAUGCCGACUAGGGAUCGGAUGAC